ACUUAAAAAUCAUCAUUUCAGAUGGGCUGAUGCCAGAAGUCAUAGAAGUGACCUCUUGUACCUUCACAUCUCGUGGCCCAAGUAAUGAAAAGUCUGCCAAAAAGUGAGGUGACGGACAAGUUUUGAAU